AGUGUAGGCGGUUUGGUAAGUCGGAUGUGAAAGCCCCGGGCUCAACCCGGGAAGUGCACUCGAUACUGCCAAGCUAGAGUAUCGGAGAGGUUGGUGGAAUUCUCGGUGUAGAGGUGAAAUUCGUAGAUAUCGAGAGGAACACCGGUGGCGAAGGCGGCCAACUGGACGAAUACUGACGCUGAGACUCGAAAGCGUGGGAGCAAACA
rnacentral:rRNA from 1 species